ACAGAGUCAUGGAUCGGUUUACAUUGUACUUCUCUCUCCUGUUGGGGUUCCUACUUUAUGAUGCUCAACCAGCAGCUCCAACAGGCUGUGCAGGUCCACCCGUGCUGUGUUGUCCUGGUCAAAACAACUCCUGCU